GAGCAAUGCCGCGUGAGUGAAGAAGGCCUUCGGGUUGUAAAGCUCUGUCUUCAGGGACGAAGAAAUGACGGUACCUGAGGAGGAAGCCACGGCUAACUACGUGCCAGCAGCCGCGGUAAUACGUAGGUGGCAAGCGUUGUCCGGAAUUACUGGGCGUAAAGGGCGUGUAGGUGGACUGAUCAGUCGGAUGUGAAAUACCCAGGCUUAACCUGGGGACGCCAUUCGAUACGGUCAGUCUUGAGUGCAGGAGAGGGCAGUGGAAUUCCCAGUGUAGCGGUGAAAUGCGUAGAGAUUGGGAGGAACACCAGUGGCGAAGGCGGCUGCCUGGACUGUAACUGACACUGAGGCGCGAAAGCGUGGGGAGCAAACAGGAUUAGAUACCCUGGUAGUCCACGCCGUAAACGAUGAGUACUAGGUGUAGGAGGUAUCGAC
rnacentral:rRNA from 1 species